GACGAACCGUGCGAACGUUGUUCGGAAUCAUUGGGCUUAAAGGGCGCGUAGGCGGGCUCUCAAGUCCGGGUUGAAAUACUCCAGCUUAACUGGAGAACAGGCCCGGAUACUGAGGGUCUCGAGGAAGGUAGGGGCAUGCGGAACUAAUGGUGGAGCGGUGAAAUGCGUUGAUAUCAUUAGGAACUCCGGUGGCGAAGGCGGCGUGCUGGACCUUUUCUGACGCUGAGACGCGAAAGCCAGGGGAGCAAACGGG
rnacentral:rRNA from 1 species